AGGGUGUUUAUGCCCUGUAUCUUAUAAAAUGCUAUGCAUGUUAACACUACAUCUGGUGCAGUACGUUUGUAAGCCAGCAUCCCCUUAGCCUCCCUCUGGACUUCCUGCUUCAGUCCCAUCAAAACACUGUGUAGUUGUUUAUCACCUUCUUUUUAUAAUGUUCACAUGAAGGAAACUUCAAGACAGACAUUUGAUGUGAGGAGUUCUUGUUUCUGGGGGCUCACAAGCAAAUGGAAAUCCACAAGGGAUGUAGGAGCAAGCCAACAUGAAGACAUGCAAUUCAGACAGCACAGGACAACGUAAGCAUCCCACACAAGAGAGUCAACGUCACCGUCCUAGUGGAAAAACCAACGUGAACACAUCUUUCUAAAUGUGGUUGUCGGCUGUGGUGUCAGAAUCAUGAGAUCGGGACUACUCCGAGAAGCGGAAUUCCUAAGAAACGUUAGUUAGCAUGCUCAAAAUGCAGUGGCAGUGCCCAACCUCUGCAUCCUCUAACAACGGAGCACACAGGGACCACUGUCGAAGCGAGGGGUUAGCUUUGUACCAAAGUUGCUGAGAUUUACAGAUGAAAGCGGCUCCCCGCACUGGGUGGAGGAGCGGCCCGAGGAGACAGGGAAAGUGAAAGGGGAGAAAAUGAGAGCGCAGGAGGCGAUGUGAGAAAGGGGACAGAAGAAAGGGAUUUCCAUGUGAAAGCGUGUCCCCCAGGCUGUGAGCUGAUAUCUCUGCAGUGAGGCUCUGGACACAUGUGAAAACUGGUUCACUGAAUAUUGCUCAUGGGACCAUAGGCUGUGAACACUGGCAUCAUCGCAAUUCGCCUCUUUCAGGUGAUAGAGCAACUGAGGCCAGAGAAGGUUAGGGGAUGUGCCAAGGUCACAGACCCUGAACUCAGCUUCUGCUCCUUGCACAGGGUGUCCAUGCCAAGGUCACCAAAUCUGAAAAGUGGAUUAGAAACACAGCUGCGCACACUGGGCAGCAUCUGACUGUGGACCAAUUUCUUCAAGCUUUUGGUCGCUCCGACCUUACAGUUUCCUGCACUGAACACUGCCCUGCCAGAAGUUUCCUUGGGAGAGAUAGGAAACAUCUUCAGAGCAAUAUGGAGCAGAGGAGCAAGACUCGUGUUCAGUGUGCUGUCUGUUUUGACAGAAGUCAGGCUGACAAACUUGGCUGGCAGCUAAGACGCUGGGUCAUCAGAGUCCAAGACAGUGAUUUCUCCUUAAGGCAGAGAGGGCACUGACAGCAACAGCUGCCUUGUGAGCUUGUACCUUUUCUUGGAUGGCUAGAUAGAGAGAUGCCUCAAGACCCCAGGAACGGGAUGCAUGCAGCAGACAGGUCAAACAGCCAAUGAUGCUUUCUGAAGUCAACAACGUUCAAUGCAAUGCCUGUGUUCAUCUGACUUUUUUCUGAGUCUCCAAUUUAAUCAAAGCCACUUAUGUGCCUGGAGUCCCCAGACUUGCAGAGAUCUUGAGUACCUCCGUGAGAAAUGACUCUCCUGUAGGGCUCGAUGACCUUCAUGUCAAUCCGCUGUUCCUGCUCUCCGAUCACCACUGUCCUCCACAGACGGUUGUCUUCUCGCUCCUCUUC